rnacentral:rRNA from 1 species
CCUACGGGAGGCAGCAGUGGGGAAUUUUGGACAAUGGGCGCAAGCCUGAUCCAGCCAUUCCGCGUGAGUGAAGAAGGCCUUCGGGUUGUAAAGCUCUUUCGCAAGGGAAGAAAGAUUACUCUCUAACAUAGAGUGAUUAUGACGGUACCUUGAUAAGAAGCACCGGCUAACUACGUGCCAGCAGCCGCGGUAAUACGUAGGGUGCGAGCGUUAAUCGGAAUUACUGGGCGUAAAGCGUGCGCAGGCGGUUUUGUAAGUCAGAUGUGAAAUCCCCGAGCUCAACUUGGGAACUGCGUUUGAAACUACAAGACUAGAAUAUGUCAGAGGGGGGUAGAAUUCCACGUGUAGCAGUGAAAUGCGUAGAGAUGUGGAGGAAUACCAAUGGCGAAGGCAGCCCCCUGGGAUAAUAUUGACGCUCAUGCACGAAAGCGUGGGGAGCAAACAGGAUUAGAUACCCUGGUAGUCCACGCCCUAAACGAUGUCUACUAGUUGUUGGUGGAGUAAAAUCCAUGAGUAACGCAGCUAACGCGUGAAGUAGACCGCCUGGGGAGUACGAUCGCAAGAUUAAAACUUAAAUGAAAUUGACCGG